GCGCGGUCAUGGGCCUCAUACGGACCAGGCAUAAAAUGACCCUCUCUAGAUGACCGCUUUAGACACUGUCUAGCGGUUAGUGUGUUCCUGCUGCCUGCUCAGCCCUGUGACUAACACCCUCACGACAGCUCGGAUUGGAGCAGUUUCUUCUGCCUGGAACAAUUCCACCAGCUGGCUGCCACCUACCCACUGCCUCCCAGAUACUGUUGACUGUUUAUACACCGGCCCCCUGCACUGGACCACGCAUGUAUCUCCGUAACAGCACCGCACACUCAAGGGUGCCUGUGACAGGUCUUCUGUAUACACGGCAUACAUUGAAAAACUACAACUCCCAGAAAUCCCACGCCAGAACUGAGCCCGCGCCAGUUGCUAUGGCAUCUGUCAAUCUGGAAGACGCCCCUGGAUACCUGCACUGUACUUUCAGAAGCCUCAUGGACUGAAGGGGACAAAAAUCAAAACCUAAGACCAGCUAAAGGUGGGAACCUCCAUCACAGACUGGGAUUUCAAAGUAUUACACUUUUAAGAUACAGAUGAAACAAAAAUAAAUCGGUCUUCACACUGA